UAGGGAAUCUUCCACAAUGGGCGCAAGCCUGAUGGAGCAACGCCGCGUGAGUGAAGAAGGUCUUCGGAUCGUAAAGCCCUGUUGUAAGAGAAGAACGUGUGUGAGAGUGGAAAGUUCACACAGUGACGGUAACUUACCAGAAAGGGACGGCUAACUACGUGCCAG
rnacentral:rRNA from 1 species